rnacentral:lncRNA from 10 species
UAGGGAAGAAAUCUUCAAAGGAAAAGGAAACACUAUUAUCCAUGAAACCACGAAAGCAUGAAAAGAGACACUCUGUAAAACAGUUGAGGAUGCUAAAGAACACAGGGAAGGAAGAAGAAAAGGAAAUGAAAUGAGUAAAUUUGUUCUUUUAAGAAGAUGAAGAGGAGAGACAUUGUAAAUGAAGUCAACAAAGUAAAGAGGCAUCGAUAAAGAACUGCAAAACCACCCAGGGUCUCUGGUUUUGGAAUUGAAUGGUGAUUGGUAUGUGCAUAAGAGAAAAAAAUGAUGUCUGCAGUGUUCCUCAAGAUGCCCUCUGUGUUGUACCGGUCGCCAACAGUAAGUUCGGCAGCAAGAGAGUAAAGAAGAUGGGAAGUAAUAAUAACAAUAAAAAGAAUAAUCUGGUGCAAAUGGACCCCAAGGUGUAGUUGUCAUCCCUGUGCAACAAUCACCCUUCACUGCAAUUUACUGAUGUUGCUUCAUUACAAUACAGCAUAUAAAGGGGCAAUGCACAAAGUCACUAUUUAAAGCUACAUGGUUAGAAGCAGUGCAUCCCACCCUAACAGGCACGGUUGUGGGAGCUAAGUCAGAUUGUUCAAAAGUGAAUUGACCUGUAAAAAAAAUAAAUAAAUAAACAGAGGUGAAACCUGAACGCAGCAUGGUGCUAAAUUUGGGGAGAAACGGAAGAAGAGGUAG